rnacentral:rRNA from 1 species
AACGAACGCUGGCGGCGUGCUUAACACAUGCAAGUCGAACGCGAAAGGGACUUCGGUCCUGAGUAAAGUGGCGCACGGGUGAGUAACGCGUGGAUAAUCUGCCCAAUGGUCCGGGAUAACAUUUCGAAAGGGGUGCUAAUACCGGAUAAGACCACGAGAUCUUUGGAUCUUGCGGUAAAAGGUGGGGACCUUCGGGCCUACCGCAAUUGGAUGAGUCCGCGUACCAUUAGCUAGUUGGUAGGGUAAAGGCCUACCAAGGCAACGAUGGUUAGCUGGUCUGAGAGGAUGAUCAGCCACACUGGAACUGAGACACGGUCCAGACUCCUACGGGUGGCAG